rnacentral:tRNA from 15 species
GCGGGGAUAGCCCAGUUGGGAGAGCGUCGCAUCAUAACCUUGAAGGUCGCGUGUUCGAUCCACGCUCACCGCA